GUUUGCAUGUGAAUGGAUGUUGUUCAGCACCAAGGACACGUGUGUUUUCCUAUGUGUGGAUCAUAUUCAGCACCAGAACAGGCGUGUUUGCAU
rnacentral:pre_miRNA from 1 species